rnacentral:lncRNA from 1 species
AUAAUAAAAAAAGAGUUUCAAGUUUAAUGGUAUAUGUAUCAAGUUAAAUGUCUUGAUUUUAUGUUUAUUGAUCCAUUAAUUUCAUUAUUUUCAUGGUUGCAAGUUAAUGGUCUCAUAUAUCAUGUUUAUUGCCCUAAGUUUCAAGUUCACUGGUUUCAGGUUUAAUGGUUUAUAUAGCAAGUUAAUGGUCAUGGUUUCAUGUUUAUUGGUCCAUUAAAUAAAUCAUUUGCAGGAUUGCAAGUUAAUGAUCUCAUGUUUCAUGUUUAUUACCCUAAGUUUCAAGUUCACUAAUUAAAUGAUUUUAAUGGUUGCAAGUUAAUGGUCUCAUUUAUCAUGUUUAUUGACCGAAGUUUCAAGUUCACACUUUUCAAGUUUAAUGGUUUAGAUAUCAAGUUAAUGGUUAUGAUUUCAUGUUUAUUGGUUCAUUAAAUAAAUGAUUUUCAGGGUUGCAAGUUAAUGAUCUCACGUUUCAUGUUUAUUGCCCUAAGUUUCAAGUUUAUUAAUUAAAUGAUUUAAAUGGUUGCAAGUUAAUGGUCUCAUGUAUCAUGUUUAUUGCCCUAAGUUUCAAGUUCACACUUUUUAAGUUUAAUCGUUUAGAUAUCAAGUUAAUGGUCAUGGUUUCAUGUUUAUUGAUCCAUUAAAUAAAUGAUUUUCAGGGUUGCAAGUUAAUGAUCUCAUGUUUCAUGUUUCAUGUUUAUUGCCCUAAGUUUCAAGUUCAUUAAUUAAAUGAUUUAAAUGAUUGCAAGUUAAUGGUCUCAUGUAUCAUGUUUAUUGCCCUAAGUUUCAAGUUCAUACUUUUCAAGUUUAAUCGUUUAGAUAUCAAGUUAAUGGUCAUGGUUUCAUAUUUAUUGAUCCAUUAAAUAAAUGAUUUUCAGGGUUGCAAGUUAAUGAUCUCAUGUUUCAUGUUUAUUGCCAUAAGUUUCAAGUUCAUUAAUUAAAUGAUUUUUAUGGUUGCAAGUUAAUGGUCUCAUGUAUUAUGUUUAUUGCCCUAAGUUUCAAGUUCACACUUUUCAAGUUUAAUCGUUUAGAUAUCAAGUUAAUGGUCAUGGUUUCAUAUUUAUUGGUCCAUUAAAUAAAUGAUUUUCAGAUUGCAAGUUAAUGAUCUCAUGUUUCAUGUUU